AAAAGCUCCCCGCUUACACCGAGGCAAUGUCUGUUUAACCCAGAUCGCUUUGAGCCUUAAAUUUAGCCUAUAAUCACCUCAUGCCACACCUAAACGAUCGCACCCUAAAUAAAACAUUUUUAUAUUUUAGUACAGGAGAUCAAAAAAUUUAUAAGCGCUUUAGAUAAAGUACCGUAAGGGAACAAUGAAAUAAAAUGAAAUAACACCAAAGCCCUAAAUAGCAAAGAUUAGAUCUUGUACCUUUUGCAUCAUGGUCUAGCUAGUAUAAUCAAGCAAAAAGAAAAUUUAAGUUUGCCACCCCGAAACUAAGCGAGCUACUUCAAAACAGCCUCAAGGGCCAACCCGUCUCUGUUGCAAAAGAGUGGGAAGAUUUUCAAGUAGAAGUGACAGACCUACCGAGCUUAGAGAUAGCUGGUAAUUCAGGAAAAGAGUUUCAGCUCAACCUUAAGUUUCUCUAUUAAACCUAAAACUUCACUAAACUUAAGAGUUAUUCAAAUAAGGCACAGCUUAUUUGAUACAGGACACAACCUAACACAUUGGGUAAACAAGGACGCUCCGAGAUAAAGUGGGCCUAAUAGCAGCCAUCUUAAUAAAAGCGUUAAAGCUUAUUUUCACGCACCCAUAAUCCCCGCACCUCCAUUCAACCCCUAAUACCUACUGAAUUAUUUUAUAUCAAUUAUAAAAGUAAUUAUGCUAGAACUAGUAACAAGAAAUUGAUUUUCUCCUAAAUGUAAGUAUAAACCAUAUGGACAAACCAAUGGUAAUUAACGCCCCUGUAACUAAUAUAACAACACUUCUCAAGAAAACCCUAUAAUUAUUUACGUUAACCUUACACUAGAGCAUUUCAGGAAAGAUUAAAAGAGAGAGAAGGAACUCGGCAAACCUUAGCCCCGCCUGUUUACCAAAAACAUCGCCUCUUGGCACAGUAUAAGAGGUCCAGCCUGCCCGGUGACAUAGUUUAACGGCCACGGUACCCUGACCGUGCGAAGGUAGCAUAAUCACUUGUUCUUUAAAUAGGGACUUGUAUCAAUGGCAUCACGAGGGCUGCACUGUCUCCUCUCUUCAGUCAGUGAAACUGAUCCCCCCGUGAAGAAGCGUGGAUUAAAUUAUAAGACGAGAAGACCCCAUGGAGCUUUAAACAAUGUGCUCACACUGCUAAUAUAUCAACUCACUAAUAAGCCCUGGGCACAAGUUUUAGGUUGGGGAGACCGCGGAGUACAAACUAACCUCCACGACAGAUGGCUUAUGCCUUAUCUAAGAGCCACAGCUCCAAGAAUCAAGAUAUUGAUGUCUAUGAUCCGAUAUUCGAUUAACGAAUCAAGUUACCCUGGGGAUAACAGCGCAAUCUACUUUGAGAGCCCUUAUCGACAAGUAGGCUUACGACCUCGAUGUUGGAUCAGGGUAUCCUUGUGGUGCAGCAGCUAC
rnacentral:rRNA from 1 species